rnacentral:rRNA from 2 species
UUUGAAAGAGAGUUAAAGAGUACCUGAAACUGCUGAAAGGGAACCGAAUCGUUUCCAGUGUCUAUAAUCUGUGGCAUAUUUCAUUGGCGAGUGUAUGCGUGCGUGUGCUUUGGCAGUGGCUUUUUUGGCUGCGCUGGGUGCGUGUUGUGCGUGUGUUUGCUGGUGCCCUGUGCUAUGGUGGGACGUCAAGGUCAGUUCGUGUGCUGCGGGAAAUGGCUGCUGAGGAGGUAGGGCUUACGCUUUGCGUUUGUCUAUUAUAUCUUGGUGGACGAGUCGUCGCGGUUGGGACUGAGGUGCCUACAACGUGCUUUUGAGUCUGUGGAACUCUCUGUGUGCGUGCUGUGUGGAUAGCUUGCUAUGUGCGUGGUGCUGUGCGUGGAUUAA